GAUGAACGCUGGCGGCGUGCUUAACACAUGCAAGUCGAACGGAAAGGCCCUGCUUUUGUUGGGUGCUCGAGUGGCGAACGGGUGAGUAACACGUGUGUAACCUGCCCUUGACUUUGGGAUAACUUCAGGAAACUGGGGCUAAUACCGGAUAGGAGCUCCUGCUGCAUGGUGGGGGUUGGAAAGUUUCGGCGGUUGGGGAUGUACUCGCGGCUUAUCAGCUUGUUGAUGGGGUAGUGGCUUACCAAGUCUUUGAGGGGUAGCCGGCCUGAGAGGCUGAACGGCGACACUGGAACGUAGACAGGGACAAGACGACUAAGGGAGGCAGCAGUGGGGAACGGGAGGCAACGGGGGGAAGCCUGACACAACGAGCCCGAGUGUGGGAUGAAGACGCUGGGGUCGUAAAGACGUGUUACGGGGUAUGAACAGCUUUCGACUGAGACGAGGAGUUCGUGACGGUACUGGAUAAAGAAGCACCGGCUAACUACGUG
rnacentral:rRNA from 1 species